CUACGGGACGCACCAGUGGGGAAUAUUGGGCAAUGGGCGCAAGCCUGACCCAGCAACGCCGCGUGAGGGAAGAAGGUUUUCGGAUUGUAAACCUCUGUCCUUGGGGACGAAGAAGUGACGGUACCCAAGGAGGAAGCUCCGGCUAACUACGUGCCAGCAGCCGCGGUAAUACGUAGGGAGCAAGCGUUGUCCGGAAUUACUGGGCGUAAAGGGUGCGUAGGCGGCAUAUUAAGUCAGGUGUGAAAUACUCGGGCUCAACCCGGGAGCUGCAUUUGGAACUGAUAUGCUUGAGUGUGAGAGAGGAAAGUGGAAUUCCUAGUGUAGCGGUGGAAUGCGUAGAUAUUAGGAGGAACACCAGUGGCGAAGGCGACUUUCUGGCUCAUAACUGACGCUGAGGCACGAAAGCGUGGGGAGCAAACAGGAUUAGAUACCCGCGUAGUC
rnacentral:rRNA from 1 species